ACCCAGCUGACGAGUCCCAGUAGGACGAAACGUGCGUCCUGGAU
rnacentral:hammerhead_ribozyme from 1 species